rnacentral:rRNA from 1 species
AUUGAACGCUGGCGGCAGGCCUAACACAUGCAAGUCGAACGGUAACAGAAAGCAGCUUGCUGCUUUGCUGACGAGUGGCGGACGGGUGAGUAAUGUCUGGGAAACUGCCUGAUGGAGGGGGAUAACUACUGGAAACGGUAGCUAAUACCGCAUAACGUCGCAAGACCAAAGAGGGGGACCUUCGGGCCUCUUGCCAUCGGAUGUGCCCAGAUGGGAUUAGCUAGUAGGUGGGUAACGGCUCACCUAGGCGACGAUCCCUAGCUGGUCUGAGAGGAUGACCAGCCACACUGGAACUGAGACACGGUCCAGACUCCUACGGGAGGCAGCAGUGGGGAAUAUUGCACAAUGGGCGCAAGCCUGAUGCAGCCAUGCCGCGUGUAUGAAGAAGGCCUUCGGGUUGUAAAGUACUUUCAGCGGGGAGGAAGGGAGUAAAGUUAAUACCUUUGCUCAUUGACGUUACCCGCAGAAGAAGCACCGGCUAACUCCGUG